AAUACAUACUUGUAGUUUAACCAUCGGCUGUUGGUUCUGUGAAAAUGGAACUCCUAUUUUAAGCUCAGGGACUUGGGCUGCCUUUGCUGCUGGGUUUGCUUGCUUCUAAACAGGGGCUAAAUUAAACAAUAGAGAACGCUAUUAAAUAAAACGGAAAUAACAAAAAUAUCAAAUAACGCAUUUUACAAACAAGAAAUGGAUAUGAAGAAAUAGCAAUAAAAAAAAGGAAUUUAGUGAGGAGAGACAGAGCCACUUGAAACUAAAAAUCAUAAUCAGAGCAUAAUACUCGAAAAGGAUUGUUAAUGGUUAAAUAGAGAAAAGCAUAGAGGAAUCAACAUCUGCGGCAAUCAGUUUCUGGAAGAACAGAACACCAACGAAGGCUGGUUAAUAAAGAGAAGUCUCCUGGGGUAGGAUGGUAUCGCAGAUGAGCAUCCCAGUUAAGAUCACGAAGAGCAAAAAGAACAAAUUGUUUCUGGACCGAUGCAAUUUAUAGGAAGCAGUUAUAAAGUGUUAAUAAACUGCUCUCCCUUGUCGAAUUCAUCCGAAAUAUUUGUAAGAAGUGACCG